UCUCCGUAGGUGAACCUGCGGAGGGAUCAUUACUGAGUGAGGGCCUCCGGGUCCGACCUCCAACCCUUUGUGAACCAAUCUUGUUGCUUCGGGGGCGACCCUGCCGCUUCGGCGGUGCGGCGCCCCCGGAGGCCAUCAAACACUGCAUCAUUGCGUCGGAGUAAAAGUAAAUGAAACAAAACUUUCAACAACGGAUCUCUUGGUUCCA
rnacentral:misc_RNA from 1 species